UGGGAACUAUAAGUGGGGAAGAAAACCCAUA
rnacentral:piRNA from 1 species